rnacentral:lncRNA from 1 species
CAAAGCUCAAGCCCGAAGAUAACAAUGAGCAAGCCCAAGCCCUUCAUCACAUGCUCUUCUUCCUCAUCUCCGGUGACAGCGACGGAGAAGAAUGGAGGUGAGAGAGAGAUCGCCGGAGGUCCUCGAAGUCGGCCCCGGCUAUCGACUUUCCGCGCCGCGCCGCGCCGCCAUGUCGCGCUCCUCCCUACGGCGUCGGAAGCGUCCAGCUGCAGCGGCCUGGUGACGGCGUGGAGCCUGCUACUGCUGCCUUUACAGGCGCGCGAGGGGCUUCCUCCUCCGGCAGCGACGCCGCCCGAGUAGUGGGAGAAAUAUGGUGGUGGGUGCGUAAAAGUGACGAGGUGCAUGGGAAAUGAUGGGUUUAAUGAACAUAGAGAUGGGAAACUGUGAACAUGAAGGAUAAAAAAAAUGCAGGCAUGGAGUUGGUGACGCGAAGGGAGAGAGAAGGUAGUAAAAAAAAUGGGUUUGCUGGGUGUACAGGGUAUAGACGCAGAGUAUGAAGAUUCUGACAGGUGGGCAUGGAAAGAAAAACUUCAAAGCUGAUAUUGAAAACCUUCUAAAACUAAAUUUUCUGUCAACCAAGGCUGUAAAGAAACAAAGAACUUUGAGACCUCAUUGAGAUCUUUCUCAGAGAUAAUGCAUGUGACAAAUUCUAUUGACCAAAGGUGGCAACACGCCCCUAUAUUAGUUAACUUUCAAUACCGCACCCUUGCUAAUCCAGAAAAACUUUACAAAAUGAUAUGUACAUGAAAGAACCGAUAGCUUGUAGAAACAAGUACCUGUAUUGGCUCCUUCCAAUGCGACUCCUCGGUGUGUUCCUUCCUCUCUCUGACCAGUUAUCUCUCCCCAAGUCCGGCCUCUCUCUCGAUCUCGGGCUCCUCUGUGGACGUCCUCCUCCUCCAGAAAAGUCCCCCCCCCUCUGUUUUUGAGUCUUCCUCCACAAGCCAUCCCCGUACACCAUCCCAUCUGCCACCCCAAAAAAACGCCCACUUGAGUCCCCUCUCUGCCC